CCUACGGGAGGCAGCAGUGAGGAAUAUUGGUCAAUGGACGCAAGUCUGAACCAGCCAAGUAGCGUGCAGGAUGACGGCCCUCCGGGUUGUAAACUGCUUUUAGUUGGGAAUCAAAGGGGGCUCGUGAGCCCCGUAUUGUAUGUACCAUCAGAAAAAGGAACGGCGAAUGCCGUGCCAGCAGCCGCGGUAAUACGGAAGGUCCGGGCGGUAUCCGGAUUUAUUGGGUUUAAAGGGCGCGUAGGCUGGCUGUUAAGUCAGCUGUGAAAGUCCGCGGCUCAACCGUGGAAUUGCAGUUGAGACUGGAGGCCUAGAGUGCACACAGGGAUGCCGGAAUUCAUGGUGUAGCGGUGAAAUGCUUAGAUAUCAUGAAGAACUCCGAUCGCGAAGGCAAGUGUCCGGGGUGCAACUGAUGCUGAGGCUCGAAAGUGCGGGUAGCAAACAGGAUUAGAUACCCCAGUAGUC
rnacentral:rRNA from 1 species